rnacentral:miRNA from 1 species
UGAACAAGGUGGGCAAUGAAC